GCAUUGUAAGAGGUCUCUAACGUUUCCUUCCCAACUUCGUCGGGUUAUAAAGAUAUCGAAACUAUUUAUGAAAUUGAAAUAAUAACCAGUAAUACAGCGCUGUGCCAGGGGUUAAAGCACUGAUAUCGCAGUUUCAAUAUUUCCGGUCACUUUAUAAAAAUUUCUAAUAUAAAAUCAAUUAAUACAAAUAUGAAA